UACAGCCUUGCUGAAUUAUUCACCCUUGUCUUUUGCGUACUUCUUGUUUCCUUGGUGGGUUCGCCCACCACUAGGACAAACAUAAACCUUUUGUAAUUGCAAUCAGCGUCAGUAACAAAUUAAUAAUUACAACUUUCAACAACGGAUCUCUUGGUUCUGGCAUCGAUGAAGAACGCAGCGAAAUGCGAUAAGUAGUGUGAAUUGCAGAAUUCAGUGAAUCAUCGAAUCUUUGAACGCACAUUGCGCCCUUUGGUAUUCCAAAGGGCAUGCCUGUUCGAGCGUCAUUUGUACCCUCAAGCUUUGCUUGGUGUUGGGCGUCUUGUCUCUAGCUUUGCUGGAGACUCGCCUUAAAGUAAUUGGCAGCCGGCCUACUGGUUUCGGAGCGCAGCACAAGUCGCACUCUCUAUCAGCAAAGGUCUAGCAUCCAUUAAGCCUUUUUUUCAACUUUUGACCUCGGAUCAGGUAGGGAUACCCGCUGAACUUAAGCAUAUCAA
rnacentral:rRNA from 1 species